CCCGCACGUACACGUGAAUCUUGCAUGGCCGCAGCCAUCUUGCCUAGCCGGAAGUGAUCAUCAAGAGUUGUACGGAGAGCAACGAAAGGAGCUUCCGCAUCGAGUUCCGGAGAUACAAGGUUCCGCUGAGCGAUUUUCAGUCAGUGGAUGGAGAAGAGACGUCUGAAUUCCCAAGGGUCGCGGCGUGAAGUCGGUUCCAAGGUAAAAAUCAUUUAAAGGACAGUCUCAGCCAUUUCGGGCUAGCUGUGGCUCGCUGUCCCAGACCGGCCGCUUUCCUCUCUCGUGGUUUGUUUCCUACGGGGCUCUACUGCAGUGCACAGCUGAGCAGCAGGAAAUGCUCUCAGGCAACGGCGCUUCCGGCGGCCUAGCCAAAAAGCAGGUGAACAGAUAAACAAACUGUGGGACAGCCAUUCAGUGGUGGACUAAGCAAUAAAGUGGCAAGAGCUAUUUAUUUAUCUGCAAAACAACAGGAUGAAUUGACAUAUACUUCUGUCAGACCCCUUCAAAGGGCUGCGCAGAAGAAAACUGGGCCUUGGUGCUCUUUGAAAGAAUGGAAUUUAGCGAAGAGAGGAACCUGAGUGCUGCCUUGCAUUGUCUUCCUGUGAGCUGUGGAAAGUUUGAGCUGGACACCGCCUCUUUCCCAAGAGCCUCCUUCAUCUGGAAACGGGGAUGAAGAGCCAGCUUCCUCGGAGCCUCUGGAGGGACGAGAGGUGGAUCCGUAGGAAGCACUCGGCACUUGCCUUGUGGAUGUGAGGGCUCAGUCCACGGUGGCGGUUGUCAUCGUCAGUGACUGAGGCUUCGGUGUCUGUGUUGGAGACAGAGGACCUGAAUGGAGACCUCCUCUUCCUGCCAGUCUGCUGGUCCAGGGAGGAAUUGCAGAUCUUGGUGAACGUGAGCACACUCCAGAGGUCUCCAGAAGGUGGGACCAAGGGCCUCCUGUCCUCAUCAUAAGUCUUGGCCUAAGUGGACACCCAGGGGGAGGCGAAGGGGGCAUUUUCUGCCUCCCUGGGCCAUCUGCGCUGUGCUGGCCAGAAAGGAAGCCUCCAGAUGCUUGCAGAUCAGACUUUUUCCAAGAGGGACAUCCUGGCAAAUGAGCACCCCAGACAGUAGGCUGCUGUUGGGGACAGCACUACAGGUGUCCCCUCGCAGCCUCACAGCUGAGUACUCUACAGUGAAGGGGUUGAGAUUCCCUCCCCACUGGGGUCACAGCAGCGACAUCUACCCUCGUGUGCACCGCCCCCAUGAGCCCUGCUCGGAGCGCUGGAUACAGGCAGCCCCGAGGUCCCGGCUGUUGGAAGUAAAUGCAGUGGCUCACUUCACGCCAGAAGCCACGGUGAUGCGGUCACACAGUAUGGCAGGCCUGGCUCCUUGAACCCAGCCUCGCAUCAUUUCUGUUUUUAAAGUGAAAAAACUGUUUUUAGGGUUCCUUAGAGUUCAGAGUUCAGUCUACAACAGCUUCCCUGUAGAACUCAUUCAGUCUGCAGUAUUAAAUGGGGACCUAGGAAAGUGUCCCCAUACUAUAGGUAGGUUGUAAAAAGGAAGGAGAACCCUGCACUUGGGGAUUUAUGUAAGUAGCAAGCUGUACAUGUAAGCAAAUGCGUGGUGUAGGUGUGCAAAUGGGAUAUGUAAAGAAAGUGUGUUGACCAGGUGUCUUUAACUUUAUCUUAAAUAAAUGGAUGGCAGUGAACUUCUCUUUAUAUAGAGAGCACUACUAGGUCCUUAGAAACUGCAGAUUACAUGUGCUAAAUAAAAGUUUUGCACGCCUACCACCAAAUUUUCCAGGCUUUCGACAUCGGAGUGCAUCAUUGGGAGUGCUGACGAUCCCUGAAGAAUCCCAUGUACAUCCUGGCCCCCAGAGCAGCUUCCUCGCUUGGUCUCAGUUUCCUGACCUCUAACAAAUGCUGAAGUCCUUCCUAACGUUCACCUUCUGUGUUACCUUGGUGAACGAGUGAGCGAAGGUGAAAUGCGAACCUCCCCCGAAGUUUGAACAGACUUUCAGUUACAAGUCCCGAUGUACCUCAGUAGUUAGUGUAUUUUUCGGUGAUAAAAUACCACUGAGAUUUUUUUCAAUUAUAAACAACUUUUUUAUUAAUUAUUAUUUUAGCUGCACAUGUUUAUGGGGUACAGAAGAGUAAUUCACCAUGAGAAUUUUGUAAGAUUGUCUCAGUAGAAAAACUAGUUUUUUUAAAAAGUGUAAAUAAGAUCCAAAUUGUAUAACUGAUAAUGUGAAAUAG